UACGUAGGGGCAAGCGUUAUCCGGAUUUACUGGGUGUAAAGGGAGCUCAGACGGAACUGCAAGUCUGAUGUGAAAGCCCGGGGCUCAACCGCGGGACUGCAUCGGAUACUGUGGAUCUGGAGUGCCGGAGGGGCAAGCGGAAUUCCUGGUGUAGCGGUGAAAUGCGUAGAUAUCAGGAGGAACACCGGCGGCGAAGGCGGCUUGCUGGACGGCAACUGACGUUGAGGCUCGAAAGCGUGGGGAGCAAACAGGAUUAGAUACCCU
rnacentral:rRNA from 1 species